GAAAUGCGAUAAGUAAUGUGAAUUGCAGAAUUCAGUGAAUCAUCGAAUCUUUGAACGCACAUUGCGCCCGCCAGUAUUCUGGCGGGCAUGCCUGUUCGAGCGUCAUUACAACCCUCAGGCCCCCGGGCCUGGCGUUGGGGAUCGGCGGAAGCCCCCUGCGGGCACAACGCCGUCCCCCAAAUACAGUGGCGGUCCCGCCGCAGCUUCCAUUGCGUAGUAGCUAACACCUCGCAACUGGAGAGCGGCGCGGCCACGCCGUAAAACACCCAACUUCUGAAUGUUGACCUCGAAUCAGUUAUGAAUACCCGCUGAACUUAAGC
rnacentral:misc_RNA from 1 species